CCGUUAGAGAGUGCCAAGUCACAGCUGGAGUCCGAGUUCCAAGUCCUGUUGGGGCGCUACAGCAAGCCAGUGCAGACAGUCAGAAUCCUGGAUGUCCUGGCCAAAAAGUCACUGAAUGGGUCUGCAGGCGGAUGGAGGAGGUACAACUCAUACCCCAAACUAGGCUUCAGGACAUCAUCUCCAUCUUCACCUGGCUGAUAGGUGAGGAUGCAGCUCUGACAGCUAAGAGGAGAGUCUCUGCCAGCAAAUUCAAAACACGGUCACUGGAAAGAAACCCAUCCCACCACUCUCUGGGAAAAUUAGAGCCCAGCAGCUUUUUCACCAAGAAGUCCUACUGCUCCAAACUCAAAACACAGUCUCUAGGCAGAAAGCCAUCAAUAGAAAACAAGCCUUCAAUGGACUCUCUUGAAAAACUGAAAGCAAACAGCUUGUUCACCAAGAUGCUCGGCCUGAAGUCAUUUGGUAUAUUCAAAACGCAGUCCCUGGACAGAAAGCCAUCACUAGACAAGAAUCCAUCACUAGACUCCCUCGGAAAACUGGAAUCCAGGAGCUCUUUCACCAAGGUAUCCACCUCGAAGCCGUGCAGCAGACUGAAUAUUCCCCAUUUUAGGCACCCAUCUUUGGAGUCCAUCCCAUUUCUGCCUAGAGACUCCACCUCCCAUACCUUCCCAUCUGCAAACCCAAGCCCCCAGCUUCCACCUCCUACAUCCUUCCAUACUUCAGACCCAAGCCAGCUCAGCCUUUGACKUCAAGGCCCACUACGCCAAGGUGCGCUCCAAUCAGUUGGACUGCUCCAUGAAGGGUUUGAAGGACCACAAGAGUAGGAACCUCCUCUGCCCGGUGCUGCAGAGCAAGCGUGUGGAUUCUGCCGUCAAGAAGAACAAAAAAACAGGGCGGGACAGCAUAUUAGACAAUGAGACCUACAUGGCCUGCAUCACAGCCUUCUUGUCCCUGGCCAAGAGGAAUACA